rnacentral:tRNA from 1 species
GCUGCAUGGCGGCAAGGAGGCGGUGGACGGGCUGCUCACGAGCCCCGACGUGGCGGCCGUGUCGUUCGUGGGUUCCACGCCCAUCGCGCGGUAC